rnacentral:lncRNA from 1 species
AGAGCCAGAUGGGGAGAAAUGUAACAAAUGCAUGAUUUUGAGUUUUCUUUUUGUAUGUGUGCUUGCCAUAGGUAGUACAUAUGUUGUUGCUUUUUUUUGUUUUGAUGAAGAUAAUGAAUUAAAUAUUAACACCAUGAAUAUAA